rnacentral:rRNA from 1 species
CACCGCGGUUAUACGAGAGACCCAAGUUGACAAACUCCGGCGUAAAGCGUGGUUAGGGGACAUCUAAACUAAAGCCGAACACCUUCAAAGCUGUUAUACGCACCCGAAGGCCUGAAGAACACACACGAAAGUAACUUUACAAGCCCUGAAGCCACGAAAGCUAAGACA